GACGAACGCUGGCGGCGUGCCUAAUACAUGCAAGUAGAACGCACAGUUUAUACCGUAGCUUGCUACACCAUAGACUGUGAGUUGCGAACGGGUGAGUAACGCGUAGGUAACCUGCCUGGUAGCGGGGGAUAACUAUUGGAAACGAUAGCUAAUACCGCAUAAUAUUGAUUAUUGCAUGAUAAUUGAUUGAAAGAUGCUAUUGCAUCACUACCAGAUGGACCUGCGUUGUAUUAGCUAGUAGGUGAGGUAACGGCUCACCUAGGCGACGAUACAUAGCCGACCUGAGAGGGUGAUCGGCCACACUGGGACUGAGACACGGCCCAGACUCCUACGGGAGGCAGCAGUAGGGAAUCUUCGGCAAUGGACGAAAGUCUGACCGAGCAACGCCGCGUGAGUGAAGAAGGUUUUCGGAUCGUAAAGCUCUGUUGUAAGAGAAGAACGGGUGUGAGAGUGGAAUGUUCACACUGUGACGGUAGCUUACCAGAAAGGGACGGCUAACUACGUG
rnacentral:rRNA from 1 species